UGGGGAAUCUUGGACAAUGGGCGCAAGCCUGAUCCAGCCAUGCCGCGUGAGUGAUGAAGGCCUUAGGGUUGUAAAGCUCUUUUUGCCGGGGACGAUAAUGACGGUACCCGGAGAAUAAGUCCCGGCUAACUUCGUGCCAGCAGCCGCGGUAAUACGAAGGGGACUAGCGUUGUUCGGAAUCACUGGGCGUAAAGCGCACGUAGGCGGAUUUGUAAGUCAGGGGUGAAAUCCCGGGGCUCAACCUCGGAACUGCCUUUGAUACUGCGGAUCUCGAGUCCGAUAGAGGUGAGUGGAAUUCCUAGUGUAGAGGUGAAAUUCGUAGAUAUUAGGAAGAACACCGGUGGCGAAGGCGGCUCACUGGAUCGGUACUGACGCUGAGGCGCGAAAGCCAGGGGAGCAAACGGGAUUAGAUACCCCCGUAGUCCCUGAGCGGGCUGGCAAGGCGCAU
rnacentral:rRNA from 1 species